AGAAGGGGAGAAAUGAAAAGAAAAAAAAAUUGUUGUCGAUACUGUAUGUUCUUAUCUCUCUCACACACACACGCAUUAACCAUGGUUACUUUUUCACUAUUCUGAAGACAAAUCCAAAACUUGAACACAGGCAGUAAAUUGGGCAAGAAAAAUUAGAAACACAAGACACAAAAAGCUAACAUAUCUUCUUCUGCUCUCCAAAUGAGACGAUAAAUACUUUUUUUUUUGCUUCUGAAUUUUUUUUCUGAUUUACUGUCACAGCACUACAUACUUUAUCCCAACGUGGUUGAGCUCGAGAUACUGCAGCGUCUCUCUUCCUGCUCCUGCUUCGACAUCUCCUCCUCGCACCAUAACUCCUGCAGCACCAUGGAGGUCGGCAGCGUCGGGAGAGUCUCGUUUCUAAUCGAGAACGACAAGACCGAUCAGCCUCCCAAGCCUGCGCGAGAGGAGAGAUCGGAGCAGGUCAUAUUCCUGCGGCGGAGCGCCAGCAGCUGCGUCGAGGUGAAGAAGACCAACGGAUUUUGGAUUGAAAUUGCAAUGACGUAACCUAAUUUUGGCUGUCAAUGACCAUUAUACCCCCGCUUUGUUAUUGUGGAGUAAAUUUGUGAGAGAGAACUAAGAUCUCCUUUAAAUUCUAAAAUUACAUGUAUUAAUA